rnacentral:rRNA from 1 species
UACGAACCGUGCGAACGUUGUUCGGAAUCACUGGGUUUAAAGGGCGCGUAGGCGGGCUGUCAAGUCGGUGGUGAAAUCUUUCGGCUCAACCGGAAAAUCGCCUUCGAUACUGGCGGCCUUGAGGGAGGUAGGGGCAUGCGGAACUUCCGGUGGAGCGGUGAAAUGCGUAGAUAUCGGAAGGAACACCGAUGGCGAAAGCAGCGUGCUGGACCUUUUCUGACGCUGAGGCGCGAAAGCCAGGGGAGCAAACGGG